rnacentral:rRNA from 1 species
CCUACGGGGGGCAGCAGUGAGGAAUAUUGGUCAAUGGUCGGGAGACUGAACCAGCCAAGCCGCGUGAGGGAUGAAGGUACAGAGUAUCGUAAACCUCUUUUGUCAGGGAACAAAGGCGGGGACGUGUCCCCGGAUGAGUGUACCUGAAGAAAAAGCAUCGGCUAACUCCGGGCCAGCAGCCGCGGUAAUACGGAGGAUGCGAGCGUUAUCCGGAUUUAUUGGGUUUAAAGGGUGCGCAGGCGGUCUGUUAAGUCAGCGGUAAAAGCCCGGGGCUCAACCCCGGCCCGCCGUUGAAACUGGCAGUCUCGAGUUGGAGAGAAGUAUGCGGAAUGCGCGGUGUAGCGGUGAAAUGCAUAGAUAUCGCGCAGAACUCCGAUUGCGAAGGCAGCAUGCCGGCUCCACACUGACGCUGAGGCACGAAAGCGUGGGUAUCGAACAGGAUUAGAUACCCUAGUAGUC